UACUGCAAGAGGAAGUGCUUUGAAGAACAGAAAGGCACGAUUGGACCUAAAACUCUAAGACGAGCUGGAAGACACGGAAAGCACGUAGGAGAGACACCGGUUUCAUUGCAGUUGGUUUCAAUAUCAAACGGUAUUGACUUGUGGUAAGCCCAGUCAUCUUUCUCUGGACGGAGAUUAGAAGUCUGCUGCCAGGCAUCUGGGGUGCCAGACCUGGGCUCCCUCUAGUUUCUUCAAUUGCAAUGGUCAUAUUUAUUUUCCUUGGAUGCUGAAAAUGUUUAAGAGACUCACCUGCCUCUUACACCAAAUUGUAACUCAACUUAUCUGAAUAAUUGGUGACUUCACAUUUGUCAUUAAAUGCUUUCUUAACUUCUCUUACCCUUCUCAUUUAUCCCUAUUUGUUAAGAUCAUCUUGCAGCACUAACACUUAGGAGUCCCAUUAGUUCUUUUCCUUCAUGCCCUGUGCUUUAGGACCAAUCCAGCCAAUCACAGAUCCCACCUCCUGUUAUUUUAAUUUGCAAUUUAAAAAAUUCUGAGUAAAACUGAGAAUCUAAAUAUAUUUAUUGGCCAUUUGUAUCUACUUCUUUGUAAAUUGCUAGUUUUCUUUUUUAUUGAUUUGUUUGAGCUUUUAUUAGUUAAAAUAAUAGAACUUUGUGAAAAGAUGAAUUAUUUUUUCCCUGGAUUGACUCUCCUUAGACUUCUAAACAUUACAGUGUGUACUUGUUAUCCAGAAUAUUUUUAGUCACAUAUAUCUAACAUUUUCUAGUAUGUGAAUUUUGUGUUUAUUAGGAAGAUCUACUCACAGCUCUCACUGUCUUUUUAUGCCUACGGUGUUCACUUCACUUCAAGCCCAUGCCACUGUAUGCCUAUAUAACUACUCAUUUCUGGAAUGGCCCUGCAAACUCGUAUCUCUUCUCCUCUUUGCGCAUGGUUGCCAGUCCAAACUGCCUUAAGACAAACAAACAAACAAACAAAAAUCCAACUAAUGAUUUAAUGCAUUCAGGUUUCAAAGCAUGUUCUUCCAUUAUUUUUAUAAUGCAGCUUUUCCUACCUGAAUGUAUACUCAAGAGAUUCAGAAUGUCCCAAGUGGAGGAGGUUUCUUUGGGAAGCCAAAGGUAGUGUAUGGACUGUAACUGGGGGCCUGUGAUUGAAUUGCCUCUUUCAGUUCCACCAUAUGGCCACCACCAUCUCAUAAUUUCCCUUCUCAGAAAAGGUACAGCUUCAUUAGGAUGGCAAUAUAUACAUAAGGUGUCAUUAAAGAGCCUAUACAAGUCACAGCUAAAAAUAUGUAUGAGAAAAAAUAAAGUUCAAAAUGAUUGCCCAACAAGCAUGAACUGUUCAAAUAAGUUAUAUUGCAUCACUGAAUCAUAUGUGUUAUGCUUUCAAAGAUAAUGUAUUGCCAUAAAGAAAUGCUCAUGACACAAUGUCUCAAAAAUGAUAUAAUUGUAGUAGUCAUAUUAGUUCUGAGCCUUCAUUGAAUGCUAUUUACCUAAUUUCCUUUUUUAAAUGUUCACUGCAAAAGCAAGAUAUAAAACUGUUCAAACUGGGAAUUUUUUGACUUGUCUGCAUUUUUUCUAAGUUUAGUAAAUGAGCCCUAUAUUAGUUUAUUAGUCAGAAAAUAUUAUUUCAAGAAGCUAAAUAUUAAUUCAAGUCCAAACACAAUGAGGCAUUUCAUUUAUAUCUUGUCAUAGAAAUCUCUUAAGUGCCCUUAAAGGAUCAUUAAACACACCUUUUAUUAUUGUUUGUACACUUCACUGGAAUAUACAUACCCCUUACUGAAAUGUAAGUUUCUUGGGGGAAGAGCCAUGUUUAUGUUUUAAUACGCUGCUCGACACAAUAGGCCUUCACAGAACAUCCAUCGACACAAAUUAUCUCUGUUCAUCCGGAUAGGAAAAGCCUGUUUUCCAAAUUUUCUACAAUCACAUAGGGAGCAAGAAAAAAACAUUUUAAAAGUAAUUUUGCUUGUUUCUAGUGAAAAAUAUCAAGAGGAAAACAGUCAAAUAAGCAAAAUGUGCCCAGAAACUGAGUCCUCUUAUUAACAAUGUGGAUAUUAAUUUAUAGUAUAAAAUAAUACAUAUGCAUAACUUAAAAACUCAGAAUAUCCAAAGUAAAAAGUAACAUCCUUUUUUUAUAACAACCCCCACCAAACUCUAAAUGCAACUAGCAUACAUAAUUUCUUAUGAUUUAUUCCAGAGGCCCU
rnacentral:lncRNA from 1 species